UAGGGAAUCUUCCACAAUGGACGCAAGUCUGAUGGAGCAACGCCGCGUGAGUGAAGAAGGUUUUCGGAUCGUAAAGCUCUGUUGUUGGUGAAGAAGGAUAGAGGUAGUAACUGGCCUUUAUUUGACGGUAAUCAACCAGAAAGUCACGGCUAACUACGUGCCAGCAGCCGCGGUAAUACGUAGGUGGCAAGCGUUGUCCGGAUUUAUUGGGCGUAAAGCGAGCGCAGGCGGAAGAAUAAGUCUGAUGUGAAAGCCCUCGGCUUAACCGAGGAAUUGCAUCGGAAAC
rnacentral:rRNA from 1 species